rnacentral:rRNA from 1 species
AUUGAACGCUGGCGGAAUGCUUUACACAUGCAAGUCGAACGGUAGAGGGGGCAACCCCUCGAGAGUGGCGAACGGGUGAGUAAUAUAUCGGAACGUGCCCAGUCGUGGGGGAUAACGUAGCGAAAGUUACGCUAAUACCGCAUACGAUCUAAGGAUGAAAGCGGGGGAUCGCAAGACCUAGCACGAUUGGAGCGGCCGAUAUCAGAUUAGGUAGUUGGGGGGGUAAAGGCUCACCAAGCCAACGAUCUGUAGCUGGUCUGAGAGGACGACCAGCCACACGGGAACUGAGACACGGUCCAGACUCCUACGGGAGGCAGCAGUGGGGAAUUUUGGACAAUGGACGCAAGUCUGAUCCAGCCAUUCCGCGUGCAGGAUGAAGGCCCUCGGGUUGUAAACUGCUUUUGUACGGAACGAAAAGGUCUCUCUUAAUACGGGGGGCUCAUGACGGUACCGUAAGAAUAAGCACCGGCUAACUACGUGCCAGCCGCCGCAGUAA